CCUAGAACCCACAAAGGGUGUUG
rnacentral:siRNA from 1 species